CCUACGGGAGGCAGCAGUGAGAAAUAUUCGGCAAUGGCGGUAAGGCUGAACGAGCAAAGUCGCGUGAAUGAAGAAGGAUCUAUGGUUUGUAAACUUCUUUUGUCAGCGAGCACUUGUCUCUACGUGUAGCGUUAUCGAGAGUACCUGAAGAAACGCAUCGGCUAACUCCGUGCCAGCAGCCGCGGUAAUACGGAGGAUGCGAGCGUUAUCCGGAUUUAUUGGGUUUAAAGGGUGCGUAGGCGGAAUGCCAAGUCAGAGGUAAAAUCGCGGGGCUCAACCUCGGUCCGCCGUUGAAACUGGCGUUCUUGAGUGGGCGAGAAGUGUGCGGAAUGCGUGGUGUAGCGGUGAAAUGCAUAGAUA
rnacentral:rRNA from 1 species